rnacentral:tRNA from 1 species
GUGGGUUUAUGGCUUAGUGGCAGAGCAUUCACCUAGUGUGUGGGAGGCCCUGGGUUCGAUCCUCAGCACCACA